AUUUUUUCUUGUCCAUUGGGUUUCUGCACAAUUAAUUUUCUCAGUUAUUCACUACUUCAUUUCUGUAAUAAAAGUUCUCACCUUUAUCUUCUAUCUCUCAGCCCUCUGCUUCUGAUCAUCUAAUUCUUUUCUUGUUUUCGAGUUCACUGCAAUCAAUUUUACUGAAUUUAUAUUUUUGGAUUUCAAAGCUUUUUUUGCUGGUCGCAGUAAAGUAGAGCAAGUUCAAAUUUUUGUUGCUGGACAAAAACUGGAUUGGAUUCCAGGACUUAAGCUUUUACAAAUGAAAAGAAAUUUUGUUUAGCAACAUACGCAUUUUGGGGGAUGGACUCUUUGCUUUUCGUUAUUGUUUGUGAAUGAUGUUCGGUAGGCAGAAGGUUUCUAAUGCUUUCAGCAUAUUUAGAUGGAGAUUGCUUGGUGAAUCAACUUUGACAACAGG
rnacentral:misc_RNA from 1 species